rnacentral:misc_RNA from 1 species
CGUCUCCUGCAGACCCU